GUUGACUAAAUAUGGUCAGGGAAGAGAGAGGCACAAGAGAGCCUGUUUGCCUGGGAGUGCAUGUUUCAAAUGCUUAGCUGCCUAUAAAGCUGUAACAGUUUAGCCUGUGUUCACUGAGGGAAGAAUUUAAGUUAACCUCUGUAGUGACCAUGUGGAAAUCCUGACCUUGCUUGCAGACUUGACCUCUGGAUAUGACAAGGUAGCUUCAAUAUAGAUUUACCAUUUAAUCCUGGAAACUGAAAACAAACAAAAAAAAUUUCACAGCAAGAAAGAUGCAGAAUUACUUCCUGAGAAGAAGAAUCCAGUGUAUUCUGGUGGGCAAAGGAAAAUAGUGUGAAUGCUUAUAGUUACUUGGGAGGAAUAAGGAGGGAUUCUGUGUUCACUGACUUCCCCCUUACUUCACCUCACCGGCUCACGAAAAGAAGUGCUGAAUCAGCGGAUAGAGUGAAGGAACGAUCAAGAUGAGAUGGCUGCUGCUGAUGUGACUCUCUAGGUCAUUAUCUCUCUUCCUGCUGCAAACGCUGCAUGACACUAAGUUUUCAGGAUCUAGAAGCAAACUACAAAAUAAGAAGAAAUUCAUCCUGAAAACACUGAAGAAACACUAGGUUGAUCUUACCAAUUUCUGAAAUACACUCUGUAAAACUUCACUGAUUCUAUGAAUCUCUUGCAAAAAGGACCAAACCGGAACAAAGUUCAACAGAUAACUGGUCAGUGUUUAGAAGUGUAUGUCCACCAACAAGGAACCAUAAAUAGCAUUAAUGCAAUGCUUCAGGUAAAUUUUUACGAAGUUUAGUCUUUCAUAGUCUCUGUAAAUGAUCUACCAUUGCUCUACAUCAGUAAGCUGAAUGUUUUACUAACAAAUGGGAAAAUAAAACAUUUUAUGUUUUUACAGCUAACAACUUAGUAAUACCUACUCAGAGUACAUACUUCUUUAUGUACCCAUAUGAACAUACAAUGCUAUGGAAUGUAAAGAAGUAUGUAUUUUUGGUAGGCAAUAAACCGCCAAGAGAGAAAUAAGCUUCAGCUAAAAGAAGCCCUUGCUUCUUUUUAUGUGAAUGACCUUCAUAUGGUAUGUUAACCUAGAAUUGAACAGAUGACCUUUGGAAAUAAUAAUAU